rnacentral:lncRNA from 1 species
UUGUGUAGUUGUUUGCAACCAGAAAAGGCAGUGAAAAUGAUCCACUUCUCCUCUCACAUUUUAAUUACGACCAAGGCUUUGUUUGAAAACGCUGCCUGACAACUCCGUAGCUGAACUAUCUGUAGAUAUUCACCCGGCAGUUAACAUGGUGACACAUCCUGAAAGAGAGAGAGACUCUGGACUCUGGAGCAGACACACCUGAGAGGCAUUAUUCAAUGCAUGGUUGUUAUUUACAUAGACAUGUCACUGGAGAGUUGGUUGUGAUUGAUAAUGGAGAGGUGCCAGGGGGAAAGGCACAAAGCAUCUGGUAUAUGGUUGAGUGGUGAGGUCGCUGGGGACCAUUUAGAGUCUAAAAUGGGAGUCCGGUUUGGGCGAACUCGACUGACCUUGCUUAAGUCCAGAGAACCGGUGAGAUCGCAUAUUUAAAGUGUUUAAGGUGUGGUAUCAGUCGUCUAGUUGAAAUAUAGAGAGUGAACACAUGGGAACCAUGAUGAAGGCCAGUGUUUUAUUGAAUUGCAUGUUUUAUGAUUGGUGUAUUUUGACUGGUUUUGACUGAGGCAGAGCAUAAGGCCUGUUUCAGGGACUUGUUUCUGAAGACCAUUCUUCACAAAGCCAUUUGGAAAAACCUGCAACCCAGGAUGCCAUGGAUAAAAGGGUCCAGAUUCAGGUCAACCUUUAGCUGAAAGAGGCCUCCGAUUGUGAAGGUGGGAGAAGGCCGUGCACAGGGGAGAGGGAUCCGCUGCAGUGAGAGUCAGCAUCAAGUCUCGGACCACCUAUCUCAAAACCAGCCUCUACUCCCAAGCCACAAGACUGAUCCAACAGCUGAACCCUGGGCUGACUCCUGCACCUUACCACACACUUACCAUUUAGUCAUAUUCUGUACACAUAAAUCACUUUAGUCUACCGGACCAAUGAAGUAGUUAUGUCAACUGCACUAUGUAGAUAUACUAUUAUUAUAAUUCUAUGCUGCUACUGCAUUGUAGUUAUUCCACUCUAUGGGCAAAACAUUUCCAUACUAUAUGAAUAUAGGCUAUUUUGGUUUUAUCUUAAGGCUGUUUUUGUUUGAUCUUAUUCUUAUUUAUAUCUUAUAUCUUUUUUUGAUCUGCAUGCUUCUUUUGUACAUGUUUUUAUUGUUUAAUUGUUAGUAGGUCACACAGGAAAGGAAUCAAAUAAGUGACAUUGUACAUUUUACAAUGUCACUUAUUUGAUUCCGUUACAAUGUCACAUUAAUUACUGUGUGAGGAGCCUGUCAAUCAUUUUUUGUUGUUAUUGAUUUUACUGGAUUUAUUUGUCAUCACCUGUUGAUCCAGGGAACCAGGACUAGCCCUCAUUACCUGAUAUAUUUUGCACACACAUAAUCAUUUACAGUACUUGUUAGUACUUAUUGGAAAUCACAAUUCGUUUUUCAAAUGGACAUGGCAUCCAACGUAUCUUAAAUAAUAAAAGUCAAUAAAUAAAUAAGUGGUGAAAGGGAGUAGGCACGCUGCUGUCUUGACGCUGACAAAGCACCUUGCCUCCGACUGUCAGCUGUAGUGUCGCCAGUCGGAAGAAGGACAGGUGAAGGAUGGGGUGGGCUGUGUGAGGAAAACAGCACUUGAACUGCAGGAGCACGGCUGCCGCUUGAGAAAGUGGCAUAUCGCGGGCGCCCCAUGAAUGAGGCGAUUGGCAAAAAAGCUGUCGUACGACCACUCGGGAGGGAUGCCGGCCUCCCGAUUGCUCAUUGUGAACUCGGUAGCAAAGUGCAAAGAAAUGUUAAUUCUGGUCAGGGGGAGUUCCCGCUUGAAUUUGGUUAAAAGGGCAGUGAAUUCGCUCAUACUUUGAGAACUUGUUAGCAAGCUCCUGAGACACAUCAUUUUUCUCUCAGAGAUUAUUAACUGAAGACACAUGUAACUACUUUAAGUCUUAUUUAGUGAUAAUCAUUUACUCUGUGUUAUUCUGUAACGUUUCAUGUAUUUCAUGUACACUGUAAUAGUUUGAGUGUAAAUUAUUUCAUGACUAAUAAAUCCUAUUAGUGAGUGAAUGCA